UUAUAUCUUUUAAGCAAUCACUCCUUCAUCAAUCGCAUUUGUCAUCAAUUUAAUAUGCUUCAUCACAAACAUCGGCAACUCAACAUUUUUAAUUCUACGACGACCUGCUUUCGUCGUAACGUCAUUGCCUCCCUGCGUAAGGGAGUUAAUUAGUUUGUAAGAGAUUUAACGAUGUAACGUGUUAAUUUAAUAUUGAUAUUCAUUAUUGCAACUUACCCCACUUUACUACCUACUAACCUUUUAAAAUAUCAUUGUAUUUAAAUCUUUUGUACUAGCCUUUUACUAACGUUUAUACUAUGUAUCUUUUUAGCUAUAAACAAUUAUAUCUUUGUAAAUAUUUUAUGUAUAAAAGUUGUAGGUUAGUCGAAUAAAAUAAAAUAAAAUAAAAAUAA